rnacentral:lncRNA from 1 species
CACCAAUAAAGGCCAUACAUGGAGACACAUAGCAACUACCAUGUGUGUGACUUGUUUAAGAGACUAAAACACAAUCUACUUAUUUUCUUGCAAUACAACAUAGUCUUACUAAGGAAUCCUUGACAUUAUUUACAACAAUGAUCCAGUAUUGCUACUAGGAAUUGGUCAUAUAAAUAGGAAAUAAUGAUUCAUUUUAACAACUUCACAUUUGUGGAAAUAAUGAGAAAGAAAACAUUUAUCAUACAACUAAUAAUAGGCCAUAUUUUCAUAAAAAUAAUAGAGAGGGCUAUUGUUCUUAUAUGUGCCACAGACAUACACAUAUGCACCCUUCAUUACUCUUGUCUUUAAACAAAACAAUCAUCAGCCUUUCCUUGCAUAGCCAGUCUUUUGCAAUCAAUUAGUAAGUCACCAAUCAAAGAUCAGCUCCUUCAAUAUUGGUUUCAAGAAAACUUUGUAGAGCACUAUCCCUUGGCUCAUCUUGUGCUUCUUUCAAAACUGUGUUUUACUCAUUUGAUGAUGAUGUUUUCCACAGAAGAGUUGGCCGUGGUGAUGCAAAAUUGAUGGCAACAUCUUUCAUUUCUUCUCGGGCUGCCAUGGGUGCAAAUUAUCAUUUCCUGGUCAAGAAAUCGUGAUGGACUUCAUGAAUUUAUUGUCCCAAUUUAUUAUAUCUAAU